UUUAAUUUUUUUGACCCCAAAUAAAUGCACAACUGUCCCAAGCGAGAUUUCCAGCUAUAUCCAACGCGGUUCGCUGGUCUGACCUUUUUAUCGAGAGUCUUGUAGUGCAGUUGGUCGGUGAAGGUUGGAGAAGUUGAAUCCGGCCAAGAGAUACAAAAGGAGUUGGAAGCACAGAAUUCAAAAUUCCGGCACAGGAGAGAGAGAGAGAGAGAGAGAGAGAGAGAGAGAGAGGGCCCGAUUGGGGCUAGUUUGGAA